GAUGAAGAACGUAGCGAAAUGCGAUAAGUAGUGUGAAUUGCAGAAUUCAGUGAAUCAUCGAAUCUUUGAACGCACAUUGCGCCCUUUGGUAUUCCAAAGGGCAUGCCUGUUCGAGCGUCAUUUGUACCCUCAAGCUUUGCUUGGUGUUGGGCGUCUUGUCUCUAGCUUUGCUGGAGACUCGCCUUAAAGUAAUUGGCAGCCGUCCUACUGGUUUCGGAGCGCAGCACAAGUCGCACUCUCUAUCAGCAAAGGUCUAGCAUCCAUUAAGCCUUUUUUUCAACUUUUGACCUCGGAUCAGGUAGGGAUACCCGCUGAACUUAAGCAUAUCAAUAAGCGGAGGA
rnacentral:misc_RNA from 1 species